rnacentral:rRNA from 1 species
GAUGAACGCUGGCGGCGUGCUUAACACAUGCAAGUCGAACGGAAAGGCCCUGCUUUUGUGGGGUGCUCGAGUGGCGAACGGGUGAGUAACACGUGAGUAACCUGCCCUUGACUUUGGGAUAACUUCAGGAAACUGGGGCUAAUACCGGAUAGGAGCUCCUGCUGCAUGGUGGGGGUUGGAACGUUUCGGCGGUUGGGGAUGGACUCGCGGCUUAUCAGCUUGUUGGUGGGGUAGUGGCUUACCAAGGCUUUGACGGGUAGCCGGCCUGAGGGGGUGACCGGCCACAUUGGGACUGAGAUACGGCCCAGACUCCUACGGGAGGCAGCAGUGGGGAAUAUUGCACAAUGGGCGGAAGCCUGAUGCAGCAACGCCGCGUGCGGGAUGACGGCCUUCGGGUUGUAAACCGCUUUCGCCUGUGACGAAGCGUGAGUGACGGUAAUGGGUAAAGAAGCACCGGCUAACUACGUG